CCCUUUUUUUUUUGCACUUCUGCAGGUACUUGGUGAAAAUUCUAGGAGUAACAAAGUUCUAUUGGAGAUGAUUAGGCUUAGGCAUUUGAAGCAAUACCUUACCUUAGGAAGCUAUUCAAGGAUUACUCGGAAGAAAUUUCUCAACCAAGGAUUCUUAGGUGGUUGUCUGCCAAGAACAAUCCAAAAAUAAAUUAUGUUGAUCUCUUCAGUCCUCUUCAUGAUAUAAUUGUACAUCUCUGGCUUGUCCCCACAGAGCAAGAGUUGCAAAUGCCAUUCUUUUUAACUCUAGGAAUCAUUAACACAAAAUCAGACCCUACAGUGGAUAUGAUAAAAAAGGUAAUGGCUGGAGCAACAACCAUCAAAAGGGAAGCACUUAUUGUUCCUGGUGAUGCUGAUGAUAUUGCAAUAAAUGUUGGUGAUGAUGCUGAUGUUAAUGUUGGUAUUGAUAUUGGUGAUGUUGGUGUUAAAAGUGGUGGUGAGCAUGUUGACGAUGUUGGUGGUAUAUAUGGUGGAUUCACCUAUUUCAGUUGGUGGUAUAUAUUUAGUUAAUCAUAUUUUGUAAUUGUUAGUGACAAUAUUUUAUAUUUA